UUGGAUACCUGAUAAACCCAGCAUGUCUAGGGACGCCGGCCGCUACGGAUCCAUGUCACUUUAUAGCCCCAUGACCGCCCAUGUUGAUGACGAAUUCACGAGCGCGCACGUUUUAAGAUUAUGCAUCUUCCGAUCACGCUCCAGUGAGGGAAUUAAGGAUGGCACGUUGUCCUUGUAAUGGGGAUCCAGCAGGGUGGCCACCCAGUAAUCCGCACAAGUUAGAAUGUGGGCAACUCGGCAGUCGUUGCACACGCACUUUGGUGACUCUAGAUAACCCUGGGCCGAUCGCACGUCCCCUUGACGACACAUUCGGAUGUCUGCCCUAUCAACUUUCGAUGGUACUUUCUGCGCCUACCAUGGUGACCACGGGUAACUGGGAAUCAGGGUUCGAUUCCAGAGAGGGAGCCUGAGAAACGGCUACCACGUCCAAGAAAGGCAGCAGGUGCGCAAAUUACCCACUCCCGACGCGGGGAGGUAGUGAUGAAAAAUAACAAUACAGGACUCUUUCGAGGCCCUGUAAUUGGAAUGAGUACACUUUAAAUCUUUUAACGAGGAUCUAUUGGAGGGCAAGUCUGGUGCAGAGCGACUGACCCGUGCGUACUGCAGCUGAAACUCCACUA